CACGUACAGAACCUUCCUUCGAGCGGAGAAUAGCCCAGAGAAAUUUGGAUUAAUACCCCAUAGUAUCCCAGAGAGGCAUCUCUUUGGGACUAAAGAUUUAUCACUUGAAGAUGGCUGUGCGGCUGAUUAGGUAGUUGGCGGGGUAACGGCCCACCAAGCCUACGAUCAGUAACUGGUGUGAGAGCACGACCAGUCACACGGGCACUGAGACACGGGCCCGACUCCUACGGGAGGCAGCAGUAAGGAAUAUUGGUCAAUGGACGAAAGUCUGAACCAGCCAUGCCGCGUGAAGGAUGAAGGUCCUCUGGAUUGUAAACUUCUUUUAUAUGGGACGAAAAAAGGCCUUUCUAGGUCACCUGACGGUACCAUAUGAAUAAGCACCGGCUAACUCCGUGCCAGCAGCCGCGGUAAUACGGAGGGUGCAAGCGUUAUCCGGAUUCACUGGGUUUAAAGGGUGCGUAGGUGGGCAGGUAAGUCAGUGGUGAAAUCCCCGAGCUCAACUUGGGAACUGCCAUUGAUACUAUCUUUCUUGAAUACCGUGGAGGCUAGCGGAAUAUGUCAUGUAGCGGUGAAAUGCUUAGAUAUGACAUAGAACACCGAUUGCGAAGGCAGCUGGCUACACGAAUAUUGACACUGAGGCACGAAAGCGUGGGGAUCAAACAGGAUUAGAUACCCUGGUAGUCCACGCCCUAAACGAUGGAUACUCGACAUAUGCGAUACACUGUAUGUGUCUGAGCGAAAGCAUUAAGUAUCCCACCUGGGAAGUACGACCGCAAGGUUGAAACUCAAAGGAAUUGGCGGGGGUCCGCACAAGCGGUGGAGCAUGUGGUUUAAUUCGAUACGCGAGGAACCUUACCUAGGCUAGAAUGCAUAUUGACCGUGGGUGAAAGCUCAUUUUGUAGCAAUACACAAUAUGUAAGGUGCUGCAUGGCUGUCGUCAGCUCGUGCCGUGAGGUGUUGGGUUAAGUCCCGCAACGAGCGCAACCCCCAUCACUAGUUGCCAUCAGGUAACGCUGGGAACUCUAGUGAAACUGCCGUCGUAAGACGUGAGGAAGGAGGGGAUGAUGUCAAGUCAUCAUGGCCUUUAUGCCUAGGGCUACACACGUGCUACAAUGGGGCGUACAAAGGGUCGCAACACAGCGAUGUGAAGCUAAUCCCAAAAAACGCCUCUCAGUUCAGAUUGCAGUCUGCAACUCGACUGCAUGAAGCUGGAAUCGCUAGUAAUCGUAUAUCAGCAAUGAUACGGUGAAUACGUUCCCGGACCUUGCACACACCGCCCGUCAAGCCAUGGAAGCUGGGUGUACCUAAAGUCGGUAACCGAAAGGAGCCGCCUAGGGUAAAACUAGUGACUG
rnacentral:rRNA from 1 species